rnacentral:rRNA from 1 species
AGACCCGAAACCCGGUGAUCUAGCCAUGGGCAGGUUGAAGGUUGGGUAACACUAACUGGAGGACCGAACCGACUAAUGUUGAAAAAUUAGCGGAUGACCUGUGGCUGGGGGUGAAAGGCCAAUCAAACCGGGAGAUAGCUGGUUCUCCCCGAAAGCUAUUUAGGUAGCGCCUCGUGAAUUCAUCUCCGGGGGUAGAGCACUGUUUCGGCUAGGGGGCCAUCCCGGCUUACCAACCCGAUGCAAACUGCGAAUACCGGAGAAUGUUAUCACGGGAGACACACGGCGGGUGCUAACGUCCGUCGUGAAGAGGGAAACAACCCAGACCGCCAGCUAAGGUCCCAAAGUCAUGGUUAAGUGGGAAACGAUGUGGGAAGGCCCAGACAGCCAGGAUGUUGGCUUAGAAGCAGCCAUCAUUUAAAGAAAGCGUAAUAGCUCACUGGUCGAGUCGGCCUGCGCGGAAGAUGUAACGGGGCUAAACCAUGCACCGAAGCUGCGGCAGCGACGCUGAUGCGUUGUUGGGUAGGGGAGCGUUCUGUAAGCCUGCGAAGGUGACCUGUGAGGGUUGCUGGAGGUAUCAGAAGUGCGAAUGCUGACAUAAGUAACGAUAAAGCGGGUGAAAAGCCCGCUCGCCGGAAGACCAAGGGUUCCUGUCCAACGUUAAUCGGGGCAGGGUGAGUCGACCCCUAAGGCGAGGCCGAAAGGCGUAGUCGAUGGGAAACGGGUUAAUAUUCCCGUACUUGGUGUUACUGCGAAGGGGGGACGGAGAAGGCUAUGUUGGCCGGGCGACGGUUGUCCCGGUUUAAGCGUGUAGGUGUGUGUUCCAGGUAAAUCCGGUUCACUUUAACACUGAGGCGUGACGACGAGGCACUACGGUGCUGAAGCAACAAAUGCCCUGCUUCCAGGAAAAGCCUCUAAGCAUCAGGUAACAUCAAAUCGUACCCCAAACCGACACAGGUGGUCAGGUAGAGAAUACCAAGGCGCUUGAGAGAACUCGGGUGAAGGAACUAGGCAAAAUGGUGCCGUAACUUCGGGAGAAGGCACGCUGACACGUAGGUGAAGUGAUUUACUCAUGGAGCUGAAGUCAGUCGAAGAUACCAGCUGGCUGCAACUGUUUAUUAAAAACACAGCACUGUGCAAACACGAAAGUGGACGUAUACGGUGUGACGCCUGCCCGGUGCCGGAAGGUUAAUUGAUGGGGUCAGCGCAAGCGAAGCUCCUGAUCGAAGCCCCGGUAAACGGCGGCCGUAACUAUAACGGUCCUAAGGUAGCGAAAUUCCUUGUCGGGUAAGUUCCGACCUGCACGAAUGGCGUAAUGAUGGCCAGGCUGUCUCCACCCGAGACUCAGUGAAAUUGAACUCGCUGUGAAGAUGCAGUGUACCCGCGGCAAGACGGAAAGACCCCGUGAACCUUUACUAUAGCUUGACACUGAACAUUGAGCCUUGAUGUGUAG